rnacentral:rRNA from 3 species
CCUGUAACCAUGCCGAACACAGAAGUUAAGCUUCUUAGCGCCGAUUGUAGUGAGGGGUUGCCCCUUGUGAGAGUAGGACGUCGCCACGC